CACGGUUUAAUUAACAUGGGUCAGUCUCCAGUGCUGGAAUUGUGCUGCUAAUAUCUCUUAUAUCACAAAGUUCAUGACCAUAUAUAAGAUCAAUACUAUAUGGAAUUGCUUUCAAAUAUUUUUAAAUAUUGGUUUUGAGUAUUUAAAAGUACAUGUGUGCCUUCAAAAACUAUAUUAUGCGUAGAUUUCGUGAUACGAUCCUCAUUUAAUUUUUUAAGUACUCGAUCACAUAUUCAAAUACAUAUAUAGCCUCUGCGAGACGUCGAUGGCGCAGUGACAACGCUUUAUUAUUCCUUUUUUCUUUAACGAGUGUGAGAGAUCAGCGGGCUAGCUAGGCUGCCUCCUCGGCACGUCCAUCCGCAUCCAAUAGGUAGUAGUACGUAGUAGCCUGUAGGCUGUAGGUGACCUGCGUGGAAUGUCGAUAGAUCGAGGGGACGAUGAGCGGCGAAGAUGGCGAAGCUAAGGCGGGUCGCGGCCGGCAGGAGCAGCCUUCAGGCGGGCCUUAUGGCGGCGUGCACCGGCGACCAAUGCACGGCGGGAAAGGGCGGCGUCGCGGCGGCGGACCUGCAGAUUAAACGGGAAGCAAGCAAGAGCCCAUCGUUGAUUAGCCGAGACUUGUUGCCAGCCGACGCUACCAUCGGAGUCUAGACGUACACACCCCUGACAUCCAAAGUAGAGAGCAGGCAAAAAUAAAUUAAAGAAAGGUGGAGAAGGAACGACUCACGGAGAGGGGCGGUGGGGUAGGACCCCACCGGCUGCGGGUUGAUGGGGUAGGACCCCACCGGCUGCGGGUUGAUGGGGUAGGACUGCUGGCAGAGGCAGCCGGUGGAAGCCACCAGCCAGAGCGCCACGGCGAGCUGCACCAGCGGCAGGAGGCGGGGGCGGCGCGGCAACAACGACACGGCCAUCGAUCACGCACACUGCACACACCAACACUACACGUGCACUAGCCGAUCGGCAGGGCGAGUAGUCCUUUAAUUUGGCAGACGACUCUGAUGAUCAUCCUGCCGUGCUCGCAUCGUGC
rnacentral:lncRNA from 1 species